UAUAAGAGGUUGGAAGGAUAGGAGGAACUAACAAAAAAAGUCUCCACAUAGCAUGGAUGUACUUUGGAGUAUCACGUGAUAACAUGGAAUAUAGGCUAUUAAAAGUAACAUGUCACAGUACUUUUACAAAGACUUUGUCAAUGUGAGAUUUACUGUCUAGUUUAACAAUCAAACUUACACCUUAUUAAAUCACUCAUAUUAUAAUAAUUAAAACAAAAACCUUACAAAAUCUUUGUUCAAACAUGAUGAAACAUGAUCAUUUUGCAUAAUGUUAAGUUCCUAAAGAUAUCGAUUUUAUUUUCGUGUGUUAUGAGAUGUAAUCUUUGAUCCGGGUCAUAUAGAACGUGUUUCGAGGUUUAAAAUAGGGUUUAACCUUUUAAGACGGCUCUCGAGAUUUCUCACCUAUUAUAAGCUAUAUUGCCUAAUGUGACGUAGCUGAUGUGCAAUAGCUUUGGUUGCCAGUAGGCGGCAGAAGAGGACGGUGAAUUUUAACGAGACAAGCGGUGGACGAUUAAUAUAUAUGGGAUGCGCUUCACUUGGUCAUAUCUACUGAGAACUCGUGCAGUCUGUAUGUUGUUCUCCGCACCGCGCUGAUAUAAAUGUUAAUGAAGAUAUAGACAAGUUAUUAUUUUACUUAAACUUAAGUAUAACAUGGGACGCGUUUUACCUGUGAUUUGUCUGUUGUAAUUAUCCGUAAAGCGUUUUAGUUUCUAAUUUGGCUGUCAUAAAGGGGAAGACAUUUUUCAACUGGAUAUCCAUCGAUUCGGGGCGUUUUUGUUUCAUCUCUGCACAUUUGAUUGGCGUCAUGCUGUUGUCACAUACCAGCAGUGUUGCUGCUGGAGCCUCAAACACUCAAGCUGCUGCUUGCAUAUUGAGAUGCACUUCAGUGAAGGCUGGUGGACAGCUGCCAUCCGGUCUAGACUAAGCAGCUCCUCUCUUAUCAUGAUCAAAGCACAUGUUUGCACUGAAAACUGGGAAAUGUGUGAGAGAUAUGCUAGACAUGAACUGGUAAGACAAAAUGUGAGGUGAAAUCUAAAAUCCAAAUACCAUGUGGAAUGGUAUUUGUUAGUAUUUUCAUAUAAGUUGACAUUUUCUGAGCUGAAUGGUAUAUUUAAUGGAAUCAUAGAAGGUUGAGGAUUUCUAUCUCGGAAGAAAAAAAAAAGGCAUAAUAUGGCUGAUUGGUUUCAAACACAUCCACACUCAUUCACUUGCUCUACAGUCUAGACCACAAGUAUUCACCCUCCUCAAACCUGACCCUGACAUAUAAGCCUGAAAUAGACGGCUACUUAGACAUGACAUCAGCCAGUGUUUUAGCCAAGCACACACACUGUACAUGUCUGCAGAGCCAAAUGACCUGCACUUAUAAGUUUAGUGGUGAAAUCUCAGGCAGCUGUAUGAAAGCAGUGAGGAGACAUGUAAGAGCAUAACUGCAUGUUAAAAGUCUGCUUCCGGCAGUAUCAUACCACCAUUCCCUUUCUAAACAAUUGUGUGUAAAAUCUGCCUUUAGAAUAGAACACCUGAAAGUGUUAGAUCUGCUCAAGAAUGAGUUUUUGCAAGCCAUCCUUGUUUUUUUUUUUUACUUUUAGCUUUUCCAGGAUGCUGCAAAUGAAUCACAUUUUGUCAUAAAUAUCACAUUAUUAAAUCAUUUUGUACAUCUAAUGUUUCAGAGUGUAUCAUCAUAAAUUAUUCUGUAGUUUGGGAGGUCUGCUUUUACUGAACUACAUAAAAUCUAUUUUAAUUAUAGUGUUAAAUUCUUAAACUUGGCCUGAAUUGAAGUGU
rnacentral:lncRNA from 1 species